AGCGAACGCUGGCGGCAGGCCUAACACAUGCAAGUCGAACGGAUCCUUCGGGAUUAGUGGCGGACGGGUGAGUAACACGUGGGAACGUGCCUUUUGGUUCGGAACAACUCAGGGAAACUUGAGCUAAUACCGGAUGUGCCCUUCGGGGAAGGAUUUAUCGCCAUUAGAGCGGCCCGCGUCUGAUUAGCUUGUUGGUGAGGUAAAGGCUCACCAAGGCGACGAUCAGUAGCUGGUCUGAGAGGAUGAUCAGCCACAUUGGGACUGAGACACGGCCCAAACUCCUACGGGAGGCAGCAGUGGGGAAUCUUGCGCAAUGGGCGAAAGCCUGACGCAGCCAUGCCGCGUGAAUGAUGAAGGUCUUAGGAUUGUAAAAUUCUUUCACCGGGGACGAUAAUGACGGUACCCGGAGAAAGAAGCCCCCGGCUAACUUCGUGCCAGCAGCCGCUGUAA
rnacentral:rRNA from 1 species